rnacentral:lncRNA from 1 species
CUAGAUUGUAGGAGGGCACAUGGCCAGGAAGUUCAUCACUCAAGAGUGUGUGUUCGUGUGCAGAAGUUCCACAUACUCUGAGCGCAUCGACAUGUUUUUAAAGUGGAUUACAAACUGUCUUUUAUUUUUAAUUUUAAUUUAUCUCACGCAUACAGAUGCAGAGAAUGAUUUCAGAGCAAUUGAAGGAGAAACUGUCUAUCUUCCCUGCCACUCACCCCCUAAUGACAGUGUACAAGUUUCUGUAGAGUGGACAAAACAUAGUACAAACAGCACUACAAACCUCACAGUACAAACAGUACAAAUAGUACAAACUAUUUGUCAAUGGAUUAUUAAUAACAUUACUGGAUCUCUCACUGGAGACUGCAUUCCUCAUUUCAAAUUCAACAACAAGUAUUUUACACUAAGUAAAGAAAAAGUUCAGCUCAGUGACUCUGGUCAUUACAGCUGUAAAACAACAAGAUUAAUACCACCACCAACAUUAGACAAUACCACAAAUGUGACACUCCAAGUUGAAGUUCGUCCACAUCUGUCUCUGCAGAAACUGAACAGCAGUAAUGUCACCUGUAUCCAUCUGCUCUGCUCUAUGGAGGAUCUGAUGACUGAGCUGGUGAACUUCACCUGGAGCCGAGAGGGUCAAAGUUCACUUCAUCCAUUCAAAUCUUAUGCCACGAACAGUGAGCUGCGUCUGUGUAAACCUGACUGGAGUGAUGGAGACACAAUCACCUGUUACGCCAGCUACUCAGACACCCAAACUCAAAGAAGUAUACACCUGCCCUCACAGAGUGAUUCUGACAAAGUUGUCCAGCUGCUGAUCAUCUCAUGCAGUGCUGCUGCAGGCCUCAUCCUCUGCAUCAUCCUUACCGUUGUUAUUUGCAAAUGCAGAAAGCAAAACGAAAAUGGAUCUAUAGUGUUCAGCAAUAAAGUCUAUGAGAACUUCAGUUUCGCCAUGGCCCGUCAGAACACACAGUCCAAUGAUAAACCACAGCCAGAAGAGUGUAUUUAUGAGAACUAACUGCUGCUGCUUAUAUAACCUUUGCUUUAAAGCCAGAUCGGCCCAGUUUUUACAAAGGCAGUAUGAUGUAGGCAAAAGUGUGUUAAGUGAUUUAGCGAAGAUAUUUGAUGGUGCACUGCGAAUGUGAAGCAAAAGCUUUCUGUAUUGUUUACAAUGCCUUCACUGACUUCAAACAUUGUAAUCAGGCACUUUAAACAAUCAGUAACUGUUUUCGUUGUGUUUAAGCACUGUAGGUGCACUAAACUAUUAUGUCUUCUAAAUUAAACAGAAUUAAAUUAUGAUAAUGAGCAAGGAUCUCAUAUCCGGU